rnacentral:rRNA from 1 species
CCUACGGGGUGCAGCAGUGGGGAAUAUUGGACAAUGGGCGAAAGCCUGAUCCAGCCAUGCCGCGUGUGUGAAGAAGGCCUUCGGGUUGUAAAGCACUUUCAGUGGGGAAGAAAGCCUUGGGGCUAAUACCCUCGAGGAAGGACAUCACCCACAGAAGAAGCACCGGCUAACUCCGUGCCAGCAGCCGCGGUAAUACGGAGGGUGCGAGCGUUAAUCGGAAUUACUGGGCGUAAAGCGCGCGUAGGCGGUCUGAUAAGCCGGUUGUGAAAGCCCCGGGCUCAACCUGGGAACGGCAUCCGGAACUGUCAGGCUAGGGUGCAGGAGAGGAAGGUAGAAUUCCCGGUGUAGCGGUGAAAUGCGUAGAGAUCGGGAGGAAUACCAGUGGCGAAGGCGGCCUUCUGGACUGACACUGACGCUGAGGUGCGAAAGCGUGGGUAGCAAACAGGAUUAGAUACCCGAGUAGUC